rnacentral:rRNA from 1 species
GACGAACGCUGGCGGCGUGCUUAACACAUGCAAGUCGAACGGAAAGACGCGGAUCUUGUGGGGCGCUCGAGAGGCGAACGGGGGAGUAAAACGCGAGGAACCUGCCCUUGAAAUAGGGAUAAAUUCACGAAAAUGGGGCUAAUACAGGAUAGGAGCUCCUGCUGCAUGGUGGUGGUUGGAAAGAGUCGGCGGUUGGGGAUGGACUCGCGGGUUAUCAGCCUGUUGGUGGGGUAGUGACUUACCAAGGCUUUGACGGGUAGCCGGCCUGAGAGGGUGACCGGCCACAUUGGGACUGAGAUACGGCCCAGACUCCUACGGGAGGCAGCAGUGGGGAAUAUUGCACAAUGGGCGGAAGCCUGAUGCAGCAACGCCGCGUGCGGGAUGACGGCCUUCGGGUUGUAAACCGCUUUCGCCUGUGACGAAGCGUGAGUGACGGUAAUGGGUAAAGAAGCACCGGCUAACUACGUG